rnacentral:rRNA from 1 species
AUGUCCGUCUAUGCUGCGCACUUUGCCGCUUCCUCUAGGAGCAGCUUCGAUGAGACCAUUUGGAAGGCUAAAGCCCCGCUCAAGUGCAAGCUCCACCUUUGGCUUGUGUCGCGCAAGAGAAUCUGGACGGCCAAUCGCCUUGCCAAGAGAGGUCUCCCUCAUAAGAAGCAAUUUGCCAUGUGCAGUUUCGUGCCUGAGGACUGCAGUCAUCUCUUCGCCGGCUGCGCCGUCACCAAUAUAAUUUGGAAUUCCAUCCUCCAAUGGGCUAACUUACAGGCGUUUGUCCCCACCAUGGACCAGGGCCUCGUGUCAUGGGGGAUCGCUGCUAGGGAAGCUUACCACGGCAAGGACAGGAAGAGGCUUGAUUGUCGUGGUAGAAAGGAAUGCUUGUGUUUUUUAAAGUACUUUAUUGUGAUCUGCGCCAUAACUUGGUAUUAUAAUUUGCAUAAACCACACAGUUAUAUAAAGUAA